UCUCACCCUUGUGAUUAUUCUUACCACAUGAAAUCCACACUAUAAAAUUCAUCACCUCUUCUUGUUCUCACCAAUUAGACUAUUAGGCUCUCGGAGGUCCAAGACUGACCUUCUCCACACUUUUAAUUAUUUUUUGUUGUGUUGAUAUAUUUUCUUGUUUCUAAAAAUUUUGAGUUCUUUUUGUUUAUGCUAGGUCCAUGAGUUGGGCAACAUAGCCUCGUUCAUGAACCUUCUUUACAAAUCUACUCAAAUGGAGUUUGUUGACCAUGUCUUUUAUUUCUCUACCCUCUCCUUUAUUCUUUGCCCUACUCUUUGUUCUAAUUAUGGACAUUAAACAUCUUCAACGACCGUGAUUUCCUUGAUUAAUGAAAUAAGGAGGAACCAAUUUCUUGCUCCGAGGAAGCAAGUGCCAAUGUUGGUGGAGAGUGUGAAACCAGAUCCACAACUUCUGAACCAGAUGACAACAUUCGACUAGAAACAACUAUCAUUGACAGAGCCAACGUUGUUGAAUGAGGAUCUGACUCUCAGAAUAGGUUUUCUUAUUCAGAAAUUAUUAAAUGUUCCAUGAGGAUAUAAUUUAAUUUAUCAAUUUCAAUAUGACA